rnacentral:rRNA from 1 species
AGUGAACGCUGGCGGCAUGCCUAACACAUGCAAGUCGAACGGCAGCACAGUAAGAGCUUGCUCUUACGGGUGGCGAGUGGCGGACGGGUGAGGAAUACAUCGGAAUCUACUUUUUCGUGGGGGAUAACGUAGGGAAACUUACGCUAAUACAGCAUACGACCUACGGGUGAAAGCAAAGGAUAUUCGGACCUUGCGCGACUGAAUGAGCCGAUGUUGGAUUAGCUAGUUGGCUGGGUAAAGGCCCACCAAGGCGACGAUCCGUAGCUGGUCUGAGCGGAUGAUCAGCCACACUGGAACUGAGACACGGUCCAGACUCCUACGGGAGGCAGCAGUGGGGAAUAUUGGGCAAUGGGCGAAAGCCUGAUCCAGCCAUACCGCGUGAGUGAAGAAGGCCUUCGGGUUGUAAAGCCCUUUUGUUGGGAAAGAAAAGCAGCAGGUUAAUACCCCGCUAUUCUGACGGUACCCAAAGAAUAAGCACCGGCUAACUUCGUG